rnacentral:rRNA from 1 species
CACGCUGUAAACGAUGAUGACCAACUAUGGCCGUGAGGCCGUGGUGAAGCUAACGCAUUAAGUCAUCCGCCUGGGAAGUACGGUCGCAAGACUGAAACUUAAAGGAAUUGACGGGACCCCGCACAAGCAGUGGAGCAUGUGGUUUAAUUCGACGCUACGCGAGAAACCUUACCAGGGUUUGACAUGGUGGAUAAUACCGUAGAGAUACGGGGAUAAUACCCACACACAGGUGG